rnacentral:misc_RNA from 1 species
GAUGAAGAACGUAGCGAAAUGCGAUAAGUAGUGUGAAUUGCAGAAUUCAGUGAAUCAUCGAAUCUUUGAACGCACAUUGCGCCCCUUGGUAUUCCAUGGGGCAUGCCUGUUCGAGCGUCAUUUGUACCUUCAAGCUCUGCUUGGUGUUGGGUGUUUGUCUCGCCUCUGCGUGUAGACUCGCCUCAAAACAAUUGGCAGCCGGCGUAUUGAUUUCGGAGCGCAGUACAUCUCGCGCUUUGCACUCAUAACGACGACGUCCAAAAGUACAUUUUUACACUCUUGACCUCGGAUUAGGUAGGGAUACCCGCUGAACUUAAGCAUAUCAAUAAGCGGAGGA